rnacentral:rRNA from 1 species
UGAGGAAUAUUGGGCAAUGCCCGAAAGGGUGACCCAGCAACGCCGCGUGGAGGAUGAAGGUCGUAAGAUUGUAAACUCCUGUUAGAGGGGAAGAAUAACUAAGUUUGGAGCUUAGUAUGACUGUACCCUCAGAGAAAGCCCCGGCUAACUACGUGCCAGCAGCCGCGGUAAUACGUCGGGGGCAAGCGUUGUCCGGAUUUACUGGGUGUAAAGGGCGCGCAGGCGGAAUGGAAAGUCAGUGGUGAAAUCCUACAGCUUAACUGUAGAACUGCCUUUGNUACUUUCAUUCUUGAGUUCGGGAGAGAGAGACGGAAUUCCAGGUGUAGUGGUGAAAUACGUAGAUAUCUGGAAGAACACCAGUUGCGAAGGCGGUCUCUUGGUCCGAUACUGACGCUGAGGCGCGAAAGCGUGGGGAGCAAACA